UACGUAGGGUGCGAGCGUUGUCCGGAAUUAUUGGGCGUAAAGGGCGUGUAGGCGGUUUGCUAAGUCAUGUGUGAAAUCCCCCGGCUUAACCGAGGAACGACGCAUGAUACUGGCAAGCUAGAGUACCAAAGAGGGGGGUGGAAUUCCCGGUGUAGCGGUGAAAUGCGUAGAUAUUCGCAAGAACACCAGUGGCGAAGGCGGCUCACUGGCCCGAUACUGACGCUGAGGCACGAAAGCGUGGGGAGCAAACAGG
rnacentral:rRNA from 1 species